AUUAAAAUGAGAAGUGUUCUCAAAACAGAUAACCAUUGGAGAAGGUGAACACCGAGAACCUCUGCAAAUUGGCCGCAACAACCAUUCCAGGUGAAGAAGCUCUGUCUCCGAUCUAUUCAUGUCGACAAACCUAGAUACGAUGUCUACUUACAAUGUAACUUCCAUGAACCAAGUUAAUGGUAUAAGAUAUGUUAAUGUUACAUGCAAAUAUCACAGAAGAGCUGUAGUUAAGGUAUUAGAGUCUAAAGAAAACCCCAAUAGACUCUUCUACUAUACAUGUCCAGAGAUUGUACAGGAGAAGAAAUGUUGUUAUUUUGCUUAGAGUGAGCCAGUAAAUGUGAUAGCAGUCAAAAUUGCACCUUCAAACAACCCAAACCCUCAUGAUCAUCAAACAACUCAAGCCCUCACGAGUUUCAACAGUUGGAGGAUGAGAUGCGUAGUAUGAAGAUAAGAUUGAAGUGGGUGGAGAGAUUCAAUGAAAAUUUGAAGUUGCUUGGACAAGUAGUUUUAUGUUUUGUGGUUGUUCUAUUGGUUGUAAUGGUUGUAAAAGUUUAAAAGUCUUCGUUAAGAUGUUUCUUUAGGAUUUUGAUAUCAAUGUACCUAGUCCAGAACUCUUUGAUAUUUGGCAUGGUUGGGAUGGUUGAAGAAAUGUGUAGUUGAAACCACUAUGGUAAUUAGAAUGUUAUCUUGUUUCUA